rnacentral:lncRNA from 1 species
CAAAGAGUAACUGUGCAGUAACUGUAUAACUGGCCCAAGCAAUUCAAGGCCAUAAUGCAGCAACUCCAGUCAUUUUUUCCUAAACUUUCUUAUUAAAAAAUUCAUACCUAAAGAAAAGUUACCCAAAAAGUGUUAUAAUGAACAUGGGUAUACUAAUCAGGUAAAUAACAAAAUGUUGACAGUUGUUAGUAUUUAGCCACAUUUGCUUUAUCUCUGUAAAGACAUGUAGGUGUUUUAAAAUAACUGUCGUGUUUAAUUAAAAAGACAGUCUUCUUAGAAAGCACAUCUAUUAAAGUGUUGUUCCAUUGCUCACGGAAUGGAGAUCCCUCAUGGAGGCUUUCAAGGCCUUUGUGAUCUGAAUCAUAUUAGCUUCUCGUGUAUCUGUUGCUGCUCUUCCACUUCAUACACUUCUCCAGUAAGGCUGGACUGCUUUAAAUUCUAGGAUCAGCAACCAGUUUUCUCUCUCCUCCCUUUGGGUCUUUGUGCAUGCUAUUCCAUUUGCCUCAUAUACUCUAACUCCAUCUCUCUUUAUCUGGCUUGUUCCUUCUUCAGUUCUUAACUUAAAUAUCUUCUCCCUCCUCCAGGAAGUAUUUCUGACACCCUCAGGCUGUUUAGGAGCACCCCACAAGCUGCUUCCCCUGUACCCUUAUCAGAGCUUUUAAAACGUGGCACAAUCCCCUCUCCCCCUACCUAGUCCUGACCUAGAUGAUAAGGACCAUAUGCCUUUAUCUCUGCAUCUUUCAUACCAUGCCAGGGCUUUCCACAUAGUAAGUGUUCAAUGAAUAUUUGUUGAAAUGAUAAAUUCACGAAGAGGUCCUAGACUAGGUUGGCAUUAUAGGAUCCGAGAAACUGGAUGCCCUUGGCAAAUUCCUUUUUUGGCCUUAGUUUUCCCAUUUGUACUUGAUGACCUUUAAGGUUCUUUCUAGCCCUCAAACUUCAUUAUUCUAUAGUGUAGAAGGAAAAGCUUCUAG